rnacentral:rRNA from 1 species
AGUGAACGCUGGCGGUAGGCCUAACACAUGCAAGUCGAACGGCAGCACAGUAAGAGCUUGCUCUUACGGGUGGCGAGUGGCGGACGGGUGAGGAAUACAUCGGAAUCUACUUUUUCGUGGGGGAUAACGUAGGGAAACUUACGCUAAUACCGCAUACGACCUACGGGUGAAAGCAGGGGAUCUUCGGACCUUGCGCGAUUGAAUGAGCCGAUGUCGGAUUAGCUAGUUGGCGGGGUAAAGGCCCACCAAGGCGACGAUCCGUAGCUGGUCUGAGAGGAUGAUCAGCCACACUGGAACUAAGACACGGUCCAGACUCCUACGGGAGGCAGCAGUGGGGAAUAUUGGACAAUGGGCGCAAGCCUGAUCCAGCCAUACCGCGUGGGUGAAGAAGGCCUUUGGGUUGUAAAGCCCUUUUGUUGGGAAAGAAAAGCAGCAGGUUAAUACCCCGCUGUUCUGACGGUACCCAAAGAAUAAGCACCGGCUAACUUCGUG